rnacentral:misc_RNA from 1 species
AACGCACAUUGCGCCCUUUGGUAUUCCGAAGGGCAUGCCUGUUCGAGCGUCAUUAUCAACCCUCAAGCCUGGCUUGUCAUUGAACCUCUGGUCGUUAAAAGACGGGUUCGAAAGAUAAUGACGGUGUCGCGAUCGACCCUAGAUGCAACGAGCUUCACAGCACGCAUGUUAGUGGCCGGCCGGCCCUGGUCUUAACCUUCUUUCAAUGGUUGACCUCGGAUCAGGUAGGAAUACCCGCUGAACUUAA